ACAGAUGAACGGACAUGUUAAUCGACCACUCUAACAUGGUAAUGGAUCAUCAAGUAAGCUAGGACUAUGUGUGAAAUAAAAUAACAACCACUGCAGAUUAUAUUGGUUCUCUGUAUAUUUUUUAGAACCCUUAGCUGUUAUACCAGAGAAUUAGACAUGGUUUUCAUUUUCAUGACCAAAUUCUACUACAACAAAUCUGGCAGCAUCUAAUAAAGAAGGGAGAGUAUGCUUGUCAUGUCAUAAGGUACUGGGCCUAGCCGGAUAGGUCCUAAUUGCUUUUAUUGCUUUCAAGUCAAAUUAGUUUGGUCAGUUCAAAUUCUGUCCAGAUUUUUCCUUAUUAGUUGUGUCAGUUCACAUGGGGCCUCCUUGAUUCAUAGGAUUUUGAAAACAUAGGAUUAGGAAAAGUAUAGGGUUGGAGUGGCAUGCCCACUUGAAUCCUAUAGGAUUAGCAAUGAGUGUUUGAUGUCACAGGAAAAACAAAGGAAUUGUAAAAAAAGUUGGAGUGGAUGUUAGAUUUCCUAUGAAACGCAGUACAAAAGAUUCCAUAGGCAAAAUUCCUAUGGGAUCCAACCCUAUGAAUCAAAGGACCAACGUAGGAAAAAUUUCUAAGGAUUUCAAUCUUCUAGAAAUCCUAUAGAAUUCCUUUGAAUCAAAGAGGCCUUAGCGUGUAAUCAGGCAUCAAAGAAAGAAAUAAGAGAAAAGGGGGAGGUUUACCUCCCGAACAGAUCUAUCUCCUUCCAGCUUUUACGGGACCCAGCCUAAACUCUCUAGCCCUCCUACCACCCACGACUACCCGCAUAUGUAACCUAGAUCGUGACAAUGCUACUCUUGCCAGGUAUAGUAAGUUUAGUCAUGAAUCAGCAAAGAUAACUAGUUAUCGUAAGAAGGAAAAGAUGACAUGCUAUAGGUAUGGCGAGCCGGGUCAUUUUAUGAUUGACUGCACGACUGAGCUGUGUGAUAUCUGUAGGAAACAUGGCCAACCUUCGGAUGGCUACCCGCUACGCUUGGGUCCUAAGCCUGUGGUUACCAUCUAUGGUGUUAGUAACAACAGGUUGAUGUUCUUUGAGACUCCACACACUGUCUCGAUGACACCUCGUGUUGAGUGCUCGAAGUUUGGAUUGGUUAGGGUUACACAUGGGACUCAGGACUCUAACAGAGGAGCAGGUAUCUCAGCAGCUAAGAACACUUGUUUUAGAUUCCUUUCACUGGUCGCCUGUCAGGGUGGAAGACCAGGUUUACAGAGUGGAAUUCCCUAGGAGAGAGGAUCUCGAUCGCUUGCUGAAGUUUGGUUUCAGCAAGUUCACAGGGAGUAAAUGCAUUCUUGAGUUCGACGAGUGCAAGAAACCAGAGUCGACAAGGAUUCCGCUUGAGAAGGUCUGGAUCAGACUCUCAGGUGUUCCAGAUACUUUGCUUGAUGAUUUCCUUAUAGUGCGGAGUCUUGGAUCUCUGGAUGGUAAAACAGAGAAGGUGGACAUGCCUUUUACUCGUAUGCACGGGAUAGCGAGAUUGCUAGUCAGUGUUAUCGAUGCGGAGUAUAUUUCAGACUUUGUUCCAUGGGCAUAUGAUGGAGCGUGCUAUGAUCUCGAGGUCGAGGUUGAGGAGUUGCAUAAGGGAUAAAUAAGCUCUCGGAUAAAGUGUUGACAUGUCCGACGAAGGUGAUGGUAGCUGUAACCAGGAGAGGAAGGAGAAUACUGAUGAGCAUGCUAGGAAGGGGAAACCGCCGACACAGUCACGAACAAACAAGGGGUCGACACCAUCGUCCGCCCCAACGACUUCACUGACAUUUGGGACGUUCCAGGUGACGUCAGCACUGAGCCUCCUUUGGGGCGACCGUGUGAAGAAGGGGGACUUAUUAGGCGAGAGUCCCCCUCCCAUUGCGAUGAUGGAGCAGACGCGAUGGGAGGACACUGUGACCCCCUUACAGCUCAGGUCGCAGCCACGCCGGACUCUUCCGGUGGACGUGAGGGCCGAUCACGCGGGGCAGGAGGCCCGAGGGACUCCCUCGUUAUCAACCUCGCACUACACCGAGUGAUGACCACUUUCUAGGGCCGACGGUUGAGGGAUGCUCGACAGGAGCUGCUCCUUCACCCAUGAGGACACGGGAGGAUUCACCUUUGGCUGCUAAGGAGGGCAGCCUCACUACGGCCAUCCCACCGGACGUUAUAGUUGCGCUGGUGAGUAAGGCCGAGAUACAGUUACCCUCCAUCACUUCGGAUUCUAACGGAUAUAUGGCAGGUGGCCACAGUCCGGGCAGGAUCUCUUCGGUGGAAUUUCGGAUCCUAAGUCUAGUGACACGCGCUUUAGUCACUGGAUUAGGCACAGCCUGAUGCUGAUGAUGUGCAGUUGGGGCGGGCUAUGAGGGCCGCCAAGCUCCGAGACAUCGAAAACAGGUUAUAUAUAAGGCCACGUCUUGAAUCCGUACGUGGUCGUUACUCAACCAUGCGGACUAGAGGAAGCUUAUGGUUAUUGGAUGCAACCGAUGAGAGACGGGCACAUGGGCUAUCUUAAGCCGAUUUGAACGACGGGUUAAUAAUAGGCUAGGUGUAUAUGCAUCAUAGCCUGAUUUUGGUCUUGCCAGAUGUGACAGUUUUUUUAUUUUAAUUAUUUGUUUUUGUCUUGCUCAGAUUGUGAGCCCUUCAUAGACAUACGAUUUUAUUUCUAUGCAUGGUUAAUAAUAUAUCUGCAUGCAUCAAUUGA